rnacentral:lncRNA from 1 species
UUAGCUUUUUUCUUUUUUUCUUUUUUUUUUCUCUUUUUUUUUCAAUUCUUUUUUUUUGCGUAUUUUUUUUUUGAAAAUAAACAUGCUAUGAUGCAAAUGAUGCAGACAAGACUGGCUGGCUGUGCAUCUCAGAAUGCAGGAUCGAAGCUUCGGUUUAAACUCGGAACCACGAUUCAUCUGAAACCCAAAGUCAACUGAGAAACUGUCAUCUGAACCCAAAGUCACCAAC